rnacentral:misc_RNA from 1 species
GAUGAAGAACGCAGCAAAAUGCGAUAAGUAAUGUGAAUUGCAGAAUUCAGUGAAUCAUCGAAUCUUUGAACGCACAUUGCGCCCGCCAGUAUUCUGGCGGGCAUGCCUGUUCGAGCGUCAUUUCAACCCUCAAGCACAGCUUGGUGUUGGGACUCGCGUUAAUUCGCGUUCCUCAAAUUGAUUGGCGGUCACGUCGAGCUUCCAUAGCGUAGUAGUAAAACCCUCGUUACUGGUAAUCGUCGCGGCCACGCCGUUAAACCCCAACUUCUGAAUGUUGACCUCGGAUCAGGUAGGAAUACCCGCUGAACUUAAGCAUAUCAAUCAGCGGAGGA